rnacentral:lncRNA from 1 species
CUCACAUGAAGAUUCUACCUCAUACCUCGUGGGAAGCUCAGAGGAGCAUGCACCAGCUUAAUAUCAGCCCUUGUCACCUCACACCUGGAUUAUAAAGCAGCUGGGCCCCUGUCUCGGGCUCAGUCACCCCCAGUUCCAACUGCUGUCUUUGGCCAGCAGCACAAGACGCAAAGACACUGCACGCCUCCUCGCCUCUGCUAAAGAACUCAG